rnacentral:rRNA from 1 species
UGGGGAAUAUUGCACAAUGGGCGCAAGCCUGAUGCAGCCAUGCCGCGUGUGUGAAGAAGGCCUUCGGGUUGUAAAGCACUUUCAGCGAGGAGGAAGGUGGUGAGCUUAAUACGCUCAUCAAUUGACGUUACUCGCAGAAGAAGCACCGGCUAACUCCGUGCCAGCAGCCGCGGUAAUACGGAGGGUGCAAGCGUUAAUCGGAAUUACUGGGCGUAAAGCGCACGCAGGCGGUUUGUUAAGUCAGAUGUGAAAUCCCCGGGCUCAACCUGGGAACUGCAUUUGAAACUGGCAAGCUAGAGUCUCGUAGAGGGGGGUAGAAUUCCAGGUGUAGCGGUGAAAUGCGUAGAGAUCUGGAGGAAUACCGGUGGCGAAGGCGGCCCCCCUGGACGAAGACUGACGCUCAGGUGCGAAAGCGUGGGGAGCAAAACAGGAUUAGAUACCCUGGUAGUCCACGCUGUAAAACGAUGUCGAUUUUGGGAGGUUUGUGCCCCUUGAGGCGUGGNUUCCGGAGCUAACGCGUUAAAUGACCGCCNGGGAGUANGGCCCAAGGUUAAAACUUAAAUGAAUUGC